UUCAGCGUCGUUUGUUGACGUUUCUUUUCUCAAAACAUUUCAGCUGACCGAAAGACUGCACCGGAACGUUUACAAAAGUUAUUGCAAAAAUUCGUUGUCUUGUCGUAUCUUUAUCCUAGUAAAAUGCUGGAAAUAACCUGUAACGAUCGGCUUGGUAAAAAGGUUCGCGUCAAGUGUAAUCCGGAUGACACGAUUGGAGAUCUGAAGAAGCUGAUUGCCGCCCAGACGGGAACCCGAUACGACAAAAUCGUGCUGAAAAAGUGGUAUACCAUCUUCAAGGAUAACAUUAAAUUGUCUGAUUAUGAAAUACAUGAUGGAAUGAACCUGGAACUGUACUAUCAGUAAGAACUGCUGGGUGUUCGGUAAUAUUAAGGUUGAUUGGAAAUAUUCUAUGAAGAAUAUAACUUAUAUCAGCAUUUUUAGUGAGACAACAUACAUCUUUAAUUUUAACAUAUUUUAUGUAAAAAAGCAUGAUCUUUCGAAUGGAAUAAUAAAAUUUAAGGCUUACCUCGAGGAAGAAGGAGUAUGAAUGCUAGAGCUUGCCAUAAUUUUUGCACAAUGCGAGUGGUCACGGAAACAGUUAAUGGCGGAUAUCGGCUUCGGAUCCAAACAGUUGAUAGCUUUUAUAGCUAUUAGCUAUUAGUUUUUCGUUACACUGCCGCCAAUCAAUUUUCUUUACGUGAUUUUUGUGUUCUAUUGCAAUUCA